UAAUACGUAGGGUGCGAGCGUUGUCCGGAAUUACUGGGCGUAAAGAGUUCGUAGGCGGUUUGUCGCGUCGUUUGUGAAAACCCGGGGCUCAACUUCGGGCUUGCAGGCGAUACGGGCAGACUUGAGUGUUUCAGGGGAGACUGGAAUUCCUGGUGUAGCGGUGAAAUGCGCAGAUAUCAGGAGGAACACCGGUGGCGAAGGCGGGUCUCUGGGAAACAACUGACGCUGAGGAACGAAAGCGUGGGUAGCAAACAGGAUUAGAUACCCUGGUAGUCCACGCCGUAAACGGUGGGCGCUAGGUGUGGGUUCCUUCCACGGGAUCUGUGCCGUAGCUAACGCAUUAAGCGCCCCGCCUGGGGAGUACGGCCGCAAGGCUA
rnacentral:rRNA from 1 species